GAUAGGGUGGCUGAAGAAAGCAUUAGACUGUAAAUCUAAAUAUAAAGGUAACACACUCCUUUCUCUAUCA
rnacentral:tRNA from 1 species